UCGGAUCUGGUGUAAGGGUCAACAUCGCCGUCUUUCAUCAGUAAAUUCCUUCUUUCCUUCAAACAGCAGAUCGAGGUUCGAGUCCUCGUGUCCGAG